rnacentral:rRNA from 1 species
UCCAGACUCCUACGGGAGGCAGCAGUGGGGAAUAUUGCACAAUGGGGGAAACCCUGAUGCAGCAACGCCGCGUGAGUGAAGAAGUAUUUCGGUAUGUAAAGCUCUCUCAGCAGGGAAGAAGAUGACGGUACCUGAGUAAGAAGCCCCGGCUAACUACGUGCCAGCAGCCGCGGUAAUACGUAGGGGGCAAGCGUUAUCCGGAUUUACUGGGUGUAAAGGGAGCGCAGACGGUGAGACAAGUCUGAAGUGAAAGCCCGGGGCUCAACCCCGGGACUGCUUUGGAAACUGCCUGACUGGAGUGCUGGAGAGGCAAGCGGAAUUCCUAGUGUAGCGGUGAAAUGCGUAGAUAUUAGGAAGAACACCAGUGGCGAGGGCGGCUUGCUGGACAGUAACUGACGUUGAGGCUCGAAAGCGUGGGGAGCAAACAGGAUUAGAUACCCGAGUAA